GAGAUACCAUAAAAGAGAGAAGGUUAGCACACCCCUUGGUAAGGAUGGAAAAGGUCCUACUGACCUUUACAACAUGUAUACAGUUACAACAUCACCACCUACAUCUAACAUCUAACCAUGGUUUCGG